GCUCGGGUGGCGGAAUUGGUAGACGCGCCAGACUAAGGAUCUGGUGGGAGUUAAUCCUGUGGGGGUUCGAGUCCCCCCUCGAGCACCA
rnacentral:tRNA from 1 species